AGGACGAACGCUGGCGGCGUGCUUAACACAUGCAAGUCGAGCGGAAAGGCCUUUCGGGGUACUCGAGCGGCGAACGGGUGAGUAACACGUGAGUAAUCUGCCCAUCGCUUCAGGAUAGCCAUCGGAAACGGUGAUUAAUACUGGAUAUGACAUUCCUUCGCAUGUUGGGGUGUGGAAGUUUUUCGGCGGUGGAUGUGCUCGCGGCCUAUCAGCUUGGUUGGUGGGGUAAUGGCCUACCAAGGUCUUUGGACGGGUAGCCGGCCUGGAGGAGGGUCGACCGGCCACGACGUGGGACUGAGACACGGCCCAGACCGUCCGUACGGGAGCAGCGAGGUGGGAAUAGUGGACAAGUGGGACGUAAGCCGUGACUCCGAGCCGAACGGCCGACGUAGGA
rnacentral:rRNA from 1 species